rnacentral:rRNA from 1 species
UACGGAGGGAGCUAGCAUUAUUCGGAAUUACUGGGCGUAAAGGGCUCGUAGGCGGCCAACUAAGUCAGACGUGAAAUCCCUCGGCUUAACCGGGGAACUGCGUCUGAUACUGGAUGGCUUGAGUUCGGGAGAGGGAUGCGGAAUUCCAGGUGUAGCGGUGAAAUGCGUAGAUAUCUGGAGGAACACCGGUGGCGAAGGCGGCAUCCUGGACCGACACUGACGCUGAGGAGCGAAAGCCAGGGGAGCAAACGGG